UACGUAAGGGGCAAGCGUUGUCCGGAAUCACUGGGCGUAAAGGGCGCGUAGGCGGUUCGGUAAGUCGGGAGUGAAAGCGCUGGGCUCAACCCAGCAAUGGCUCUCGAGACUGCCGUGCUAGAGGAUCCUAGGGGAUGCUGGAAUUCCAGGUGUAGCGGUGAAAUGCGUAGAUAUCUGGGAGAACACCCGUGGCGAAGGCGGGCAUCUGGGGGAUUCCUGACGCUGAGGCGCGAAAGCUAGGGGAGCGAACGGGAUUAGAAACCCCAGUAGUCC
rnacentral:rRNA from 1 species